CUUUAAUACAAAUUAUGGUCAACAAUAAAAGUAAUUCAUACAGAACUCCUCGAUGUAGAUAAUAACAGAAAACACACCAAAUCAAUACGACUACUCAAUACAUGACGACUUUGGCGCUCGUUGACCGUGAAAGAAACGUACUAAAAGCUUCAAUUAAUAUAAAAACAUGACCGUUCCACUCAGUGUCCACAAGUGUCAAACCCGCACAUUUAUUCACAUCUCAUUGAGUCUCCAGGUUAAUAAACUGUAACAGAAAGUUGCUUGGCGCCCCCUGGUGGUGGACCACGAUGAGUGCUGCUGUACUUGAUGAUAAAUGUGGUCAAAGUACAGGUGCUUCUCACGGCUCACCUUCACUGGAGGAAGAGACCGACGGCGAACUGCGGACAACAUUUCUGUCAGUGUGAUACAGAUUGAAUCUAAUGCGACAUCAUGGCAG